rnacentral:rRNA from 1 species
CAGUCGCCGCGGGAAAACGUAGGGUGCGAGCGUUAAUCGGAAUUACUGGGCGUAAAGCGUGCGUAGGCGGUUUGUUAAGUCUGUUGUGAAAUCCCCGGGCUCAACCUGGGAAUGGCAAUGGAUACUGGCAAGCUAGAGUGUGUCAGAGGAUGGUGGAAUUCCCGGUGUAGCGGUGAAAUGCGUAGAGAUCGGGAGGAACAUCAGUGGCGAAGGCGGCCAUCUGGGACAACACUGACGCUGAGGCACGAAAGCGUGGGGAGCAAACAGGAUUAGAUACCCCCGUAGUCCCUGUCUCUUAUAC